rnacentral:lncRNA from 1 species
AUGUGUGAGACCCUGUGUGCAGUUGUCCUUCAAGAAAAUUCUGCCCUGAAUAUUUUGGCCUUUCCUUCUUGUAUUGCUUUGCUUGUCAUUCCAGGUGAGUCAAGAUCAGAAGCUCUACAAGUGUGGUUUAUUCCCUAUGUGUGUGGCAAACAAACAAAAAGCCUCCAGAAAUGUGUAGCCCGGCAUCUUACUAAAGGACAGAAGGGUCUUUCAGGAAAUAUGUCUGAUUUCAUGCCCUCCCGCUGGCUCUCCAGUGAUUAUGAAGGAAACAAGGAGAUAGUCCUUGAUGUCUAUCUGAACAAGAACAGGGAUCAGGAGGAACUGCGCUUCAGAAACCUGGAAGAGAUUUUUAAUUAUCUGAAUGAGCUAGAUGAAGAGACAUGGGACCUUCACCUCGAAGGCCAUUCUAAGUCAGCACCAGAUAACUGUGCCCCAC